AAAACAUGGUUCGUUCUCCUCUGACCUGCUCACUGACUUGUUUUGAAGAGCCGCGGUAUUUUGACCGUGCAAAGGUAGCAUAAUCAUUAGUUUCUUAAUUGGAGGCUGGAAUGAAUGGUUUGACGAGGAGUUGACUGUCUCUAUUUAAUAUCUAGAAUUUAACUUUUGAGUUAAAAGGCUCAAAUUUUUCUUUAGGACGAGAAGACCCUAUAGAGCUUGAUAUAUUAUUUUUAUAUAGUUUUUAGUUUGUUUUCCUAUAUUUAAUUUAAUAUAUUUUGUUGGGGUGACAUGAAGGAUAAUUAAACCCUUCAUUAUUAAAUCAUUGAUUUAUGUUAUUUUGAUCCAUAAUUUAUGAUCAUAAGAUUAAGUUACCUUAGGGAUAACAGCGUAAUUGUUUUAGAGAGCUCAAAUCGACAAAGCAGAUUGCGACCUCGAUGUUGGAUUAAGAAAAAUGCUAGGUGCAGUAGCUUAGUAAUUAGGUCUGUUCGACCUUUAAAUUCUUACGUGAUCUGAGUUCAGACCGGA
rnacentral:rRNA from 1 species